rnacentral:rRNA from 1 species
UACGUAGGGGGCAAGCGUUGUCCGGAAUCAUUGGGCGUAAAGCGCGUGUAGGCGGCCCGGUAAGUCCGCUGUGAAAGUCGGGGGCUCAACCCUCGAAUGCCGGUGGAUACUGUCGGGCUAGAGUGCGGGAGAGGCGAGUGGAAUUCCUGAUGUAGCGGUGAAAUGCGCAGAUAUCAGGAGGAACACCAAUUGCGAAGGCAGCUCGCUGGAACGUAACUGACGCUGAGACGCGAAAGCGUGGGGAGCAAACAGG